UUCGUUUCGAACGCGCAUGGCUGCACGAGGCCGUAGUUCACUAGGCAAUGUCGCUCUUCGACUAUUUAUUAAACUCUUCAGAGGAUUUACUUGAUUUGCCAUUCACAAGAACAAAGUUUUCUUUUUUGCUUUGUUAGAGGUGACAGCCAUAAAAAAGGACGAAGAUAAUCGCUUCCACCCUUCAUGCAGGCGCUUGGCGAAAAGGGCCAUCUUGAAAGAAAACAGUUCAAAACAGGCAGCACUUUAACGUUUUGACCUGAGCGUCUGUCAUCUUCAGGGCCUUGGCGAGCGUGGCGCGCUCCGCAGACGCCAGAUACUUCUGCCGGUGAAAGCGCUUCUCCAGUUCACAGAUCUGCACUCGGCUGAACGACGUGCGCGGCUUUUUCCUUUUCGGCGGAGUUCGGUUCUGGUACGGAUGACCGAUCCGUCGUGUCACGGAGAACGGUGAAAGAGCUGCUGAAAGAAAAUCAGGAAUUGGGCGUGCUAAAGACCAGAGGAGUGAUGAGAAUCAGGAGAGUAAGAGUGAAAAGGAAGGAGUGUUCAUCUAGUGGACGGACUUCCUGAGAACAUCAGACGCCAUCUUCCUCCUGUCCUCCCCAGCGUGACGAGUGACACGACGUCUGGCGGCUCCCUGCGAGUGCAGAGGGCAAGAAGUUAACCGCCAUGUUGUGCACCGUGAACAAAAGCUGAACGAGACCAAACGACGGUUGACACUUUUUAAGGUUAAAGUAACACAGCAACAGGGACGUCACAGGUGAAGUGCAGCACAUUUCCUCAGACAAACAGAUGUGAUAAAUCAGAUACUGGCUGCAGAGAGAAAGCAAUUCAAUCCUCAGACAUGUAGUUGCAAGAAUUGAUACAAAUUGAGGUGCUUCUAAACUGGUUUGGCUUUAGAAUCCAGGUUUUACAUUGGAUCAAGUGGUAACCCAAUUCAGAACAUAAAUUAUUUAUUGUACAGUGUUCUUUUACCAUUUAUAUUUAUAUAUUAUUUUAUGAUUUUUUAAUAUUUUUGCUGUAUUUAAA